ACAGUUUGCGAGGGCCAUGGAAUUUGCUAAAUGAAACACCUCGGAUUCUAAAUGAUUAAACCACACUUAAUUAAAACGAGAACCAUGCCUUAUUUAAUUUGAUAUGGUUAGUUGACGAAUAGCAACCCAACUCUUAUACUGUGACAAACUCGUAUCCAAUACCAAGAGCAAUGGGCCGUACACUAAAUAUCUAGCAAAUUGAAUCCAAUCCCAAUGUUGGCCCAUUAACGCUUAGAAAAUCUCCAAAAUUAUCAUCUGACCAUAAUUCUUCCAUAUCAUUAAUUUAUAGCUCCUAAGAUAAAUCUGACGUGAAAGAAAAAC
rnacentral:lncRNA from 1 species